rnacentral:lncRNA from 1 species
CAUGAGGUAUGCGCUGCAAGGCUGGAUGCAGUCAGUUUACCACUGCUCUCAGGUGAGGGCUAAGGGCCUGGGCCCAAGCCUAGCCCAGCUCCCAGACCACAGGCAAAAGCUGCAGAGACCCCAGGAGUUAUUUUCAAGGAAUCCCCAUCGUGUAUUAAUGCUGGUCUUGAAGAGUGGCAGCUAAACUUUGGAGAGGGAGAUGGAAAGGCCUGCACAGGGAGUUGACCACCCUGGGGAGGAGCCUUCAUAACUGUCCUGCAGAAUGAGGUUACAGGCUGGUCCAUGUGUGGUUCUGGCUCUAAGACAGGCUGUGGCUGAGGCAGAGCUGUUGUGGGAGCACUAAGGGAUCACAUAGAAGUUGACCUCGAGCCAAUGAUUUUGUGCAAUUAAAUUGAGCGAAGUAAAGCAAGACAAUGAUUUACUGAACUAUAACUGACUGCCACAGAAGAGCUGUCUCAUGAAUUCUGCUUUUCCACUGCGAGGGAUCUAUGAAGGAUGUUGCAUACAUAUCUAAAUUCUGGGCAGUUAAUCCAUGUGAUUGCAGGAUUGGCCAACCUACCUUGCAAUCACUCCUUCAGUAUUUCUGCUUGUGUAUACUUGUGUUUUUCUACCGAUUAAGGCUUCCUGUUUCAAAAGACAGUGGGAAACAGUUGUAAAGAUAACCAGGGACUUUAACAGUCGUGCUAGAAUAAGAUUUUGGAACUGUUUUUGCAAUUUACUCAUCAUAAAAUGGCCGUAAGUAGUAUGUCUGAUUAAAUGAUCAAUAACUGCACAGUAACGGCUUCCCACUGGAUCCUUUCCAAUGUAGGUAUUUGAUGUUGUUUCCAGAAAGAUGCUCAUAAAGCAUAGGCAGGAAGAUACCUACCAGGAAAAUCUAUUAGAAUGUAAACUAUUCCAAGAGAAACUCCCCAGAUCUCUCUACUUUUUUUUGUGUUGCAAUAUUACUUGUAAAAUACAUUCUGCAAAAGCUGCUGCUUUGCUGCUUUGCUUAUUGCAAGCAUUCUUUUAAUUCUGCAGAUUAAAUACGCUGUUACGAAACAUGAGAAAUAUGAGAAAGUGCUUUGUUAUUAUACAAAUAUGAAUUGGAUCAGGAAAAAACAUUCCCCUGAGAAGCAUCACCUCCAAAAUGCAGGCGAAAAAAGACAAAACAACCCAACAACAACUCAAAAUGAGUGAUAAUUAACAGAGCUCUCUGAUGUGCUGUUCUUUAAAACUUAAAGAUGUACAGCCGUCGGAGACAGAAUAUCGAAUAUCAGUAGGCAGAGCAGCGGGAAACUUUUUCCACUGGAUGAAAGGG